rnacentral:snRNA from 1 species
GUGCUCGCUUCAGCAGCACAUGUACUAAAAUUGGAACGAUACAGAGAUUAGCAUGG